CUCUCUCUCUCUCUCUCUCUCUCUCUCUCUCUCUCUCUCUCUCUCUCUCUCUCUCUCUCUCUCUCUCUCUCUCUCUCUCUCUCUCUCUCUCUCUCUCUCUCUCUCAGAAAUCUACCGCAAAUGCCAACUGGUUGCACCGAUGGCGUACUCCUCCAUCAUUAAACCAACAGCGUACGUACUCUUCUUAUUCAUCUUCAUUGGACGUCGUAGGCAACUGAUCAGAUUGGUGGUGGAUUAUUAGAAAACGAUUGAGCGGCGAUCUGAUUCAACGACUUGGUUGUGGAACCCGAUCGCCGUCGUAGUCUUCGAUCCAAAAGGAAUAAGGAGUGAGUGGCUGCUACUAUUCGUUUUUUUUUUUUCUUCAGAUAUGCUCCAUGUCCCAUUUCCAAAUUAGAAUUGGGUCUAUUUGAUUUGAUUCAAUAAUGAUCAUGAUUUUGUUUGGGAAACUUGUAUUGAUUUUAGGCAAAUUGGUAUAUUUGUUUCAAAAGAUUUGAUUAUCUUUUUUUGGGUUUUUAAGCACAAUGGAAGUUAUGCACAUAAGGUGUGAUGAAAGUCCUCAAUAAGGUUGUUGGUAUACGAGAAAUUUUGAAGAAUGACCAUCUUUUGGCAUUGAAAUUGAUUUUUAACCAUACUUUUCUAAAUUAAUGAAAAAUAACCAUAUUAAGGGAUGAAAAGUCAUAACUUUCCUCAUCUUGUUUAACAAGAAAAAAAAUUGCGACCAACAACCUAUUAUUUUUUCAGGCAACUGUACAUGCUUCUCCGGUCCAUCUUGAUGAUUGAUGAACCAAAUUUAAAGCACCGUUUUUAUUCAUUGUUUCAGGCAACGGUACAUGCUCGAAGAAAGGACGAUUAAUUAAUUAAUUAAUUAGCAGCAUAGAGCUUUUUGCUUUCAUAUCAUAUUAAUCGUUAUUUUUCUCUUUACUUUUUUCAAACCUUCUUCUUGUUGAGUUUACUCUCAUGAUUCAUCGACUGCUUGCAAUCAAUUCACUUGGAAGAUAGAAGCAUUUCAGAAUGCCCAAUGGGGAGUGUCGCUGCAUAUAAUAUUCAAGUACUUGACCAGUGGGGAGUUUGGAGUUUAGAUUUUCCUGCUCUUCUGGCCUCUGCGUUCUUCAUUGUGACUGCUUUCCACCUCUGAUCCACCAAUUUCCUAAUUAAUAAUUUCUAUCUUGCUCCUUAUCAAGAUCAUCCUCUAACCUCUUAUCCAUUCUCUUUCAUCAACCUCUUUUGGACUCUAUCAUCUUCAGCUUCUCCUAUUCGCUCAAUUAAGCUCGCCAGAGUCCUGUCAUUCCCUUUGCUUCUCCUUCUCUCUUCUAUGUUCUUUUUGGGCUUUCAUCUCCGCCUUCUUCACUUCCACCAUUGUUGCUUUAACACUCUCUUUUGGGCACUCUUCAAUAGUACUCUUGUCGAGCAAUCCGAAGAUUUGGAUUCUCUUUUCUCAUAUUCUCCGCCCUCCGGUUCUGUUUAGGAGGGUUUCACGGUGGAACAUAAUUAGAGAUAUGAU
rnacentral:lncRNA from 1 species